rnacentral:sRNA from 1 species
CUAUUGCACGUACCAGGGGGGAUGAGAACCCUCGACCGGGGUUCGACAACUGGCUUGCCAGUUGGACAGUCCGACAGCUCGCUGGCGGGCUGCCCGAAGGGUGAGCGCAGCGAAUCAAUCCCCCCCCUCACCGCCA